AUUUUGCAAGUAACCAUUUAAAGUAGUCUUCUUUUGCAUUUUGAUAAUGAAAUCAUUCUUUCCUGUGCAGGGCAAUUUGAGUUUAUACAAGUGACUCAAGAAAAUUUUAAGGAAAAUGACAUAGACUUGAAUUCACUUCCAUUUUUUGAGGGUGGAGCAACACAUGAAAAAGAUACAGGUGCACAUGAGGAGUUUACAGAGCAUGGAGAAUUUACAAAUAAUCAUAUAGAUUUGAAUGCACAUCCAUUUUCUGAGAGUGGAGCAACACAUGAACAAGAUACAGG